GACGAACGCUGGCGGCGUGCUUAACACAUGCAAGUCGAACGGAAAGGCCCUGCUUUUGUGGGGUGCUCGAGUGGCGAACGGGUGAGUAACACGUGAGUAACCUGCCCUUGACUUUGGGAUAACUUCAGGAAACUGGGGCUAAUACCGGAUAGGAGCUCCUGCUGCAUGGUGGGGGUUGGAAAGUUUCGGCGGCUGGGGAUGGACUCGCGGCUUAUCAGCUUGUUGGCGGGGUAGUGGCUUACCAAGGCUUUGACGGGUAGCCGGCCUGAGAGGGUGACCGGCCACAUUGGGACUGAGAUACGGCCCAGACUCCUACGGGAGGCAGCAGUGGGGAAUAUUGCACAAUGGGCGGAAGCCUGAUGCAGCAACGCCGCGUGCGGGAUGACGGCCUUCGGGUUGUAAACCGCUUUCGCCUGUGACGAAGCGUGAGUGACGGUAAUGGGUAAAGAAGCACCGGCUAACUACGUG
rnacentral:rRNA from 1 species